GGAGCUUAUCUUUUAUUUUACUAACGGUUGCCAUGGACUGAACCUAGUGUUGCUUCAACAGAAGAUGAAAACGAUUUUGUAAAUACCAUGUAAUUGAGCAAAUCUAAUAAAUUUAAUUCUAAUUUUAUGAAGGAUUAAUCACCGUAAUUUCUGUUUGUUACUUUAAUUAAUCGGCCUCAUUGGUGAAAAGUGAUGUCCGUUUUAGUAGGGACAUCUAAAGAUUAUGAAAUUUUUUAUAGAUGUAUAGAAGGUUAGAUGAAAUGAAAGAUGGUGAAAAUGAGCGGGUAGAAUUUAUUUAGAAGCAUUAUCAUCACAUAUCAAAUUUUUGUUUCGCACGGGCCAACCACUAUGAAGUGGUAAAUACAGAUAGAGUUGUGGGGCGAACCACGCUUGGCCUACUAAUGUGUGGUGGUAGAUGCAACUCAAUCUGUAAAAUAAAAACGUGUCAAAAAACCGUUUGAUUUUGGCGACACUUGAUUUUGGCAACACAAUAUUAACGAGCGUGUUGCCAAAAACGAACGGGAUCUGUACUUAGUUAAUGAUCCCGCAUCUAUUCUCCGGCGAAUAAAAAAAUACUUGCACAGUUCUUGAUGAACGGCUGGAUUUCAAGAGUCACACAAACUUCAUUGUCGACAAAGCUUCGGGAAGCCUGGGACUUUUUUCACACAUUACGAAAGAUUUUACAUUCCCCUACUGUCUGAAGAGUCUACAGAGCUACAGUACAAGCUUGGUUAGAUAAUCCUUGAAUAUGUCUCUGAUGAUCGCAUAGACGUAUCCAACGGCGUUUUUUGAGGUACGUAUUUCGACGUCUGAUCUGGCAGGACCCGUUCUUACUUCCAAGCUAUGAACGCCGCUGUCGCCUGAACGACAUCGACACGCUGCAAGCCCGCAGAACCGCCACUCGUGCGUCUGUUGUAGCUGAUCUUAUACAGCUCAGAGCUAGCUUAUUUGCGUGCCUUGCGAGUCCGUUCCUGCAAAAACAUCUAGCAACGAACAAGGAAUUUCGAAUGAAAAUCGGCAAAGAUCCACGCGACGAAAAGGGACCAGCGAUUGGAAACUUUGGACAAGGAACUGUCGAUCUGCAUCAUCAAUGUGCACAGCACUCACCUUGGAGGUACCGGUGACGACAAAGACGAAUUCUAAGCGCAGCUGGAACGUGAGGAGGACCGCUGUACAUGAUAUCAAGAUUGCAUCGGGGAUUUUAAAGCUCAGGUCGGUCAGCAGAAGGAAUUCGAAUGGUCGUACGUAGUAGCUUUUUGCAGCACCACCUCCCACGUAAGUACACCUGGAGAUCACCGUUCCAAACACAAUCACAGAUCGACCAAACAGCUGGCACUUCUCGGACAUCAUCGACGUCAGAUCCUGUCGAGGCGCCAACAUCGAUUUAGACCACUAUCUGGUGAUGGUGAAGGUGCCCCCCCCCUCCUCUGCUUAGCGAACAACAUACGGAACCGACGUCCGCCUCGGAUAAAUAUCGCACGACUGAAGCAACCCGAAAUCGCAGCAGAUUACGCACAAUCGCUCUAAGCAGCACUGCCGAAAGGGGGCGAGCUGAACGAAGCCACUUCUUGAAGGUUGUUGGGAUAUCAUCAAGACAGUCAUCAACAUCGCUCCAAUCGAGGUUUUAGGGAUUGUUUGCAGGUAAAGUAGAUUUGGUUGAUGAUGUAGAAUCGCAUUUGGGUGUGAGGUUUUUUUCCCCAAAAAGGCAACCUCCAAAACGACGACAGCGCCACACGUCAAUAGCACACAACUACCAUGCCUCAUCAAACCACAACCAGAUGGCUUACACCUACGUUACCGAAACCGCUUGGUAGCCAACAACGAUCGACAGCGAGGACAACGAAUUGUGAUCGGGUUCCGAGAGAGGUGAAGGCAACGACCUGAACUGCCGGUUCAAGACCGGUCAAAAUGCGGCUGCCAAAAGUAUUCAACGCGAACAGUUAAACCGCGAAGUGUUGAAGAACUUACAGCCAGACACCAGGACCUCUUUGGUUUAGGCCAGAACAACGCCAACCAUCCUAACGAUUCCGGAUUGGCAACAGUCGUGUAUAUUUUCCGUUAUCUAAAAGGCGAACCCGACUCUUUGAUACAGCCGACGAUCGACUAGCCACCCUACAAUCCUUGGGUGUCCACGCUCCGAACCGGCGCACUGCACGAAUGGACGAACGCAAGGCGUUUCAAAAACAAGAUCGUGGCUUCGCGUCCGGCUCCGAUUGUCCCUGCGGUAGUUCCUGGCCAAUUCGUCGCGUCAACAAGGGCUAGUCCCUACAGUUUAGCCAAGUUACAAGAAAGUGGGAGGAACAAGGCACUGGUGCAGAUAAUGUUUUCCAAUAAAUUAACGAGAAGUGCAAUAA